UACGUAGGGGGCUAGCGUUGUCCGGAAUCAUUGGGCGUAAAGAGCGCGUAGGCGGCCAGAUAAGUCCGGUGUGAAAGUCACAGGCUCAACCUGUGAAUGCCGCUGGAAACUGUCUGGCUAGAGUCCGGAAGGGGCGAGUGGAAUUCCUGGUGUAGCGGUGAAAUGCGCAGAUAUCUGGAGGAACACCGAUGGCGAAGGCAGCCCCCUGGGCUAACACUGACGCUGAUGCACGAAAGCGUGGGGAGCAAACAGG
rnacentral:rRNA from 1 species